UUCAUUUUCUUGUCCUGAUAAUGCUAAUCUUACCGAAAUAUUCUUCCUCGUAUAUUACUUCCUGCAAAAGUUUCAAUUUUGGAUUUAUGAGAUCUUCUAAUAAUACCCACUUAUUAGUCAUUUCGGCAAGAAUAUUUGUUAAAAUUAGCAUUACUCGUAUGCAUUUAUUCGAUGCAUGAGAUUUUAUCAGAAGUGAUUUCUGCAAAAUAUUCGUUAAAAUUAGCUUUGUCAUUUUACUUCCUUAUUUCUUGUUUAUGUUGUAUUUGUAUGAUGAUAAAUUGUGGAAGAAUUAAUUAUUUUGCAGGUACAUGUUUUUUGUUAGUGGAAUCUGUGCUAGUUAUGCUUUUCUUGCUGCUGUCUCCACAUGGAUCAGAUGCUUUGCUACAAAGGCUUGGCUGUUCUUUGUCUCUGACCAGAUUGUAGCUUAAUUGAUGGCUGCAUCUGGGACUGCCGUCUUAGAGAUAUUAUACCUGACUUACAGUGGAGUGAAGCCCUCUCUUCUUAUGGGAAGUUUUGCUAUAGAAUGAAGGUACAGUGAUUCUCCAUGUUUUGGCUCUUGCCUGCUUUAUUAUCUUAGCUCUAACCUCAGCAUAUAGAGCUUUUAGCAUAUUUGAACCUCCUCUCGUUCCUUCUAAAGAAGUUGAAGAAGAAGAUAGAGCAUCAAUGCCAUUUUCUUUUCUUAAUGGUCUAUGUGGUAGAUCUGUCUUAAGUAAUUGAAUGCUACUGGGAUUUCAUUGAAUAAUAGUAUAUGUGAUACGUAUGCCCAGUGAAAACAUUCUAGACAAUGAGUUCAAUAAUA